rnacentral:pre_miRNA from 1 species
AUCAUACUCCCUCCGUUCGGAAUUACUUGUCUCGGAAAUGGAUGUAUCUAGAACUAAAAUACAUCUAGAUACAUCCAUUUCUGCGACAUGUAAUUCCGAACGGAGGGAGUAGGUU